UUUUGUAGCUGGUCCUGCAGAGCUAUGUGUUUGCGAUAGUACCUAGUGUUUUUGGUUUAUUCAAAUUGUUCACUGAGUUUGGAGACUUAUUCUGUUUCAUUUGUUCCCAGGGGGGAAGGGGAAGGCACCUUGGGAGUGUUUAGGCAAGAGGCCUGCGGGCAUACAUAUACCCGUAGUAUUUACUCUGUCUAUGCACACUAGGGAGUUGCGUGUAGCAGGGUGUUGCGUUCCCUUCAAGAGGUGUACGUAACACCACUCAAAAAGAUGCAGACCCGAAUACAUUCAAGCUGCACUCUGAGAGCAAGCAUCCCACGUCUCCAAUGGUCCCAGUACUGGUUGAUGUUCAAGCCUAAGUGAUCACACGCACUCAAAUGGACCUACAGCGGGGACACACGAUGACCACGAUUUGAAUGCUGCAACUGAGACAGAAUGACAUCGAGGGAUAUACGCUGAGACCCCGAGUAUGGCUGGACAUGGAAUGAAUAUUUGUGACAACGACCUAAAAGGUGUGCAGAAGCACACCAGGACCCCAUUUUAUAUGUAUUACAUGUCCAACCAUCCCUCUAGAUACCCCUUAUUCCACACUAUGCCUUUUAUGCCCCAUGGUCCCUCAACUUCGGAUAACUUUGGAACGCGCCAUCUUAUCUCUAUAAACACACCCUACCUUCACCCAUUUUUAUUUUUUCUUCUCCCCAUGCUGCUUCACUUGUUCUUCUCCUAAUUUGAUAACAUCUAGACUCAGUACCACGUUUAAGUGUUGUGGUGUACUGUUUUGGCUACUUUUUUCCCACCUGUGUAAUGCUGCCCUCCUGCUUAUUCUUGGGUCCAGACUGAAAAGGGGUUGUGUUAAAAUUGGGAGGACAUUUCGGUUGAAUGCAUUCAGUUAUGCAACUGACUAGGUAUCCCCUUUCCGUUCCCCUUGAAUGCAGUGUUAAUAAAUGUGCUGCUCACAAUUGUCAGCAGCAAUGUGGACAGUGUUAAAUUGACCAGAAAGGUGUUGAUAUAGCUGCAUUUAGGCAUGGCCUAAAUCUGUUAAGUGUUUCUCAUUCUGCUAGAGUAAACUUUGUAUUUUAUAUUAAACCUACCUUACACAUCCA